rnacentral:rRNA from 1 species
AGACCCGAAACCCGGUGAUCUAGCCAUGGGCAGGUUGAAGGUUGGGUAACACUAACUGGAGGACCGAACCGACUAAUGUUGAAAAAUUAGCGGAUGACCUGUGGCUGGGGGUGAAAGGCCAAUCAAACCGGGAGAUAGCUGGUUCUCCCCGAAAGCUAUUUAGGUAGCGCCUCGUGAAUUCAUCUCCGGGGGUAGAGCACUGUUUCGGCUAGGGGGCCAUCCCGGCUUACCAACCCGAUGCAAACUGCGAAUACCGGAGAAUGUUAUCACGGGAGACACACGGCGGGUGCUAACGUCCGUCGUGAAGAGGGAAACAACCCAGACCGCCAGCUAAGGUCCCAAAGUCAUGGUUAAGUGGGAAACGAUGUGGGAAGGCCCAGACAGCCAGGAUGUUGGCUUAGAAGCAGCCAUCAUUUAAAGAAAGCGUAAUAGCUCACUGGUCGAGUCGGCCUGCGCGGAAGAUGUAACGGGGCUAAACCAUGCACCGAAGCUGCGGCAGCGACGCUGAUGCGUUGUUGGGUAGGGGAGCGUUCUGUAAGCCUGUGAAGGUGUGUCGUGAGGCAUGCUGGAGGUAUCAGAAGUGCGAAUGCUGACAUAAGUAACGAUAAAGCGGGUGAAAAGCCCGCUCGCCGGAAGACCAAGGGUUCCU